rnacentral:lncRNA from 1 species
CUAUCUUUACAAACAGGUCACGCCUGUUGGGUGUACUCGCCACGUGCACGUAAGCAGCUUUUACCUUAUGCGUCUGCGCACUCAAGGAUUGUGAAACGUGCCAUUGCUUUGAUCUUCGCUACUGAAAUCU